rnacentral:lncRNA from 9 species
UGCUGCUUCUCAGGCCAUCAAACGUCUUUUGGCUUAUAACCUAGAAAUUUCUUGCUUAACAGAAUAACAACAUUACAGAACUGUCAUCAUUACGUUUAAGGAAACCUUCCCUGUUUGCUAACUUCCUUCCAAAACAUUGUUGCCCUAAUUACAUUUUUUGUUGGUGGUUUGGAAAGGGCAGGACAACCCAAGGGAAUGAUUCUAUUUUAAUUGCAUCUUUCCUUUCCCAGGAGAUCUGUAUCCUUUCAAAUCCACCAAAACUCACUUGAUCAUUUGAUUAGCUGUUGUCCACUUGUUACUGAGGAAAAAACAAAAAACAAAAAACCGAAAAACCAAACCAAAACAACCACCCAAACAAGCUCUGUGGAUGUUUUGUUUGUGUUUUCCUUUCCAGAGAUCAUAAAGCCUAUUAAUGCUCUCGGUCACGCGCUGGUUCUUUUUAACAUUAAUUUUAUUUAUUAAUUUUUAAUUGAAAUAUAACUGAUUUACAAUAUCAUGUUAGUUUCAGGUGUAUAGCAUAGGAGAGGUGUGUUUUCUGUAUGUGUGUAUUAAACUUGUAUCCCAGAGUGUUGUAUGUUUUGAGCUAGGGUCCAUAGCUUGGGUCGAAUUUUGAAGAGAUUGGUGACACCCACCCCCCCAACCCCACCCUGGCCAAAAUUGAACUACUGUGACUAACAUCCAGAUUAAUUCCUCCAUUGUCGCCAGAUUGGGACCUUGCUAGGCCCGGUUUGCUAGAAGGUAUUGAAAGGAUGCCUUGUAUAUUCGGUUUAAUGAAUUUCUACAAUAACGUGUGCGAUCCUCCAUACCAGCCCUGAGGAUUUCACCGCGGGCCCGGAAACGGUCCUGAGGCUUGCGUUCUCCUCCCGGCAGGGCAUUCCUGCCCGGGGCAGACCUCGCGCCGCCGCGUCCUGGGCGCCCGGGCUGCUUCUGCCAGAACCGUCUGGGCUGCAGAUCCAAGAGGGCCCUUCACGAUCUUGGCUUCCUCUUUCCUUCAGAAAUCUGAGGGAAGGCAGUGGGGGUGGGGGAAGGAAUUUCUCUUUUUAAAAAACAUAACGGCAGCCAGGGCACCUUUCGGUGCAUCCAGGCCUGCAGGGUGGGCUCGGGGGCGCCGCGGUCCCGCAGGUUCCCAGUGCACCGUCCGCCUGGUCCUCACCCCGGCUCCGGCCCGGCCCCGGCCCCGGCCCCUGGUGUCAAGGCCCCGGCACCGGCUCAGCGCGUCGGCUGCCAACCUCUGGCAGCUGGUCCGGGAAGGCACAAUCGCGGCCGGCUCUGUCUGGCUCGCGUCUGCAGAGAUGGAACGAAUGUCAACUCCAACCUCCUGGGCCAGCUCCCUGAGCCCCCUCCCGUCCCGCCGAAAUCAGGGUUCUUGCUUGGGCGCUACUCCCAUACAUCCUGGAACCUGUCUACCCCCCACGCCUUCGCUGCGCCACAGUUUUUACUUGAAAGGAGGUACGGGGGUGGCGGGGGUAGCAAUCACGAAUCCAUUGAGAAUGUCCCUGAAUUCAUAGGCUCUUUUGGUCAUUUGGUCUUUAUUUUAUUUUCAGUCAAGGAAUACUCAAACCAUAACUACUCAUCCUGCGGGCUUCUGGGAAAAUUUGGAGAUUAAAAUACCUGAAGAUUCUGGUAAUCCCUGUUCUAAUGAGUCAAUUAAAAAGCGUUCGUUUACCCACCACGCCCAGAUAGAAUCACACGAAAAUCAAUGAAGAAAUAUGCUCAACUUCUACAAUUCUGUUUGGAAACUAAAAACCAAGUCCUUGUAUUUUCAGCUGCAAAUUAGGGUUCACAUUAAUUACCCUAAAAUACAGCGAUUUGCCUCAUGUAGAAGUUAGUUUUUUGAAUCAAUGUUUUGUGUCAGUUUUCUUCCCUAGGCAUGUUGUAAACUGAUAUCAUGGAACCAUUAAAACAAACAAAACCCCCAGCUGAUUUAUGCUUGUUUUUCUUAGUUAUUGAACCUUGGACUCUUGGCUUUUUUUUUUUUUUUAAAUGAAUUUUAGAGUAAAAAGUAAUUG